CUUACGGCCCGACCUGAGUGGAAAUCCUUUUUAUCGCUUUGCCUCCCAAUCGUUGGGAAGAGGGAGGAAAAAAAGAUUGGGAACGGAGGGCGGAAAAAGGC
rnacentral:sRNA from 1 species